UACGUAGGAAGCGAGCGUUGUUCGGAGUUACUGGGCGUAAAGAGUGCGUAGACGGUUUUCUAAGUUUGGUGUGAAAUCUCCCGGCUCAACUGGGAGGGUGCGCCGAAAACUGGGGGGCUAGAGUACUGGAUGGGAGAGUGGAAUUCCUGGUGUAGCGGUGAAAUGCGUAGAUAUCAGGAGGAACACCUGUGGUGUAGACGGCUCUCUGGACAGUAACUGACGCUGAGACACGAAAGCGUGGGUAGCAAACAGG
rnacentral:rRNA from 1 species